rnacentral:pre_miRNA from 1 species
UUACUACUCCCUCCGUUCGGAAUUACUUGUCUCGGAAAUGGAUGUAUAUAGAACUAAAAUACAUCUAGAUACAUCCAUUUCUGCGACAAGUAAUUCCGAACGGAGGGAGUAGUUU